UAAACAAGGCCAUUAUAGCAAGCAAUUUUAAAGGCUUCACCUUUAUUGUAGUUAGGAUCUAUGCCCAGAGUCACCUUAAAAGACAAGUGAAAUCAAAUUAGAUACAUCCCCAAAGUAUAGCCAAAAGGAAAAUAUAGUUACUAGGCAUACAAAACAGACACAAAAUCCUACUAUACAAAUUGCAGACCACACCCUAAGAAAGCUGGUGUAAGAGAGAACAUCUGCUAUGGAAAUGUGACAACAUACAUUGCUCAGGUCAUAAGCAGUAAUUUACAUAAGAUGUUUGGUCAGAGAUA